CCGGAGGGGUCAGGGUGGAGGCGGGGCCGCUCUCCCAGCCCGCACCUCCGACGCCGGGUUUGGGGCCCGAGCCUUCCACCGGACGCCCUCCCCCAACCCCGGGGGCAGCCCCUAGCAGCCCAGGGCAAAGGAGCUUGGCGGGGUCCCGGAGCCCUGGAAAGGCAGUGUAACAGCUCGGGAUCCUUGCCUCCGAUGCCCACAAGGAGAAGGAGCGAGUCCCCCAGGGAGACUUCUGGAGAGUGCGCGGGCUCUAGGGCUGAGCCCCGGGAGACUCCGCCGCGGCCGGGACCAGCCGCCCUUAGGGACCCGGGGCUCACGCCUCCCGGCUCCCCGCAGCCUGCCUCCUGGGCUGCAGACCCAGGGUUUCACAGCAGCGCGCAACCCGCCCCACCCCGCCUCCCCCCGCCAGGAUUUCUGUGGGAAGUCGCGCGGCGGGCCGGUGGACCCUGGCACCCAGCAGUACUCCGGGAAGAGUGAGCCGGGCGAAGGCGCGAGCCGGGUGCUGGGACUCGGUCCACCCGCCGGCUGGGCGCGCCCGCUCCGCUGCGGACGCCCGAGCGCCUGCGGACAUGCAUCCCGCUUUCCGCUGCUUUCGGGAUCCGGGCAGGGAGCUGGCACCUCGAAAAGGCUUAUCAUGGGCAGAAAGAGACAACAGGCGAGCGGGAGACGUCACGCCAAAACCCGAGCAGGCGGGUGGGUGGGGGAGCGUGGAGGGGUUAUCGGUGCGGGCGAGGCGCACGGGCGGCGUGGGGAUGCAGCCGAGUCAGAACUUCCCUCUUUCCCUCUCCCCUCCCCUUCGAUUAUUCUGGCCUGCCUCCCGCCUCCCCCCACUCCCCACCUCUCUCUCUCUCUCUCUCUCUCUCUCUCUCUCUCUCUCUCUCGCCCUCUCCCUCUGUUUCUGUCUCUCCCUGUCUCUCUCUGUCACACACACACACACACACACACACACACACACACACUUGUAUUUUGUGCUGUCGUAAAACCCACGUGUCCAGCCGGGAGGCUGCCAGAGCGCGGAGCUGAGGAACCGGGACCCGGCGGCGGCCGAGCGCAGCAGCCCAGCGCGGCUCCGGUCCGCGCCCCGCUCGGGCCGCGCUCCCCCGCGCGCU
rnacentral:lncRNA from 1 species